rnacentral:rRNA from 1 species
CAGUCGCCGCGGGAAUACGUAGGGUGCGAGCGUUAAUCGGAAUUACUGGGCGUAAAGCGUGCGUAGGUGGUGGUUUAAGUCCGUUGUGAAAGCCCUGGGCUCAACCUGGGAAUUGCAGUGGAUACUGGGUCACUAGAGUGUGGUAGAGGAUAGUGGAAUUUCCGGUGUAGCAGUGAAAUGCGUAGAGAUCGGAAGGAACAUCUGUGGCGAAGGCGACUAUCUGGGCCAACACUGACACUGAGGCACGAAAGCGUGGGGAGCAAACAGGAUUAGAUACCCCAGUAGUCCCUGUCUCUUAUAC